AAUCAACGCUGGCGGCGUGCCUCAGACAUGCAAGUCGAACGAUUAAAGCUCUCUUCGGAGAGUGCAUAGAGUGGCGCACGGGUGAGUAACACGUAAGUAAUCUACCUCUGAGUGGGGAAUAACGUCCGGAAACGGACGCUAAUACCGCAUAAUGCAGCGGCACCGCAAGGUGACAGUUGUUAAAGAUUUAUCGCUUGGAGAGGAGCUUGCGGCAGAUUAGCUAGUUGGUAAGGUAAUGGCUUACCAAGGCUACGAUCUGUAACCGGUCUAAGAGGACGGUCGGUCACACUGACACUGAAUAACGGGUCAGACUCCUACGGGAGGCAGCAGUCGGGAAUUUUGGGC
rnacentral:rRNA from 1 species